rnacentral:rRNA from 1 species
AUUGAACGCUGGCGGCAGGCCUAACACAUGCAAGUCGAGCGGCAGCGGGAAGUAGCUUGCUACUUUGCCGGCGAGCGGCGGACGGGUGAGUAAUGUCUGGGAAACUGCCCGAUGGAGGGGGAUAACUACUGGAAACGGUAGCUAAUACCGCAUAACGUCGCAAGACCAAAGAGGGGGACCUUCGGGCCUCUUGCCAUCGGAUGUGCCCAGAUGGGAUUAGCUAGUAGGUGGGGUAACGGCUCACCUAGGCGACGAUCCCUAGCUGGUCUGAGAGGAUGACCAGCCACACUGGAACUGAGACACGGUCCAGACUCCUACGGGAGGCAGCAGUGAGGAAUAUUGCACAAUGGGCGCAAGCCUGAUGCAGCCAUGCCGCGUGUAUGAAGAAGGCCUUCGGGUUGUAAAGCACUUUAAGCGAGGAGGAGGAGCUUCAGGUUAAUACCCUGGAUGCUUGGACGUUACUCGCAGAAUAAGCACCGGCUAACUCUGUGCCAGCAGCCGCAGUAA